rnacentral:misc_RNA from 1 species
AAUGAAAUUUGAAUUAAUGAAAGCUGGGAUUAUAUAACUGUGUGUGGACUGUCAAUGUGUUUGUAGUCUCUUGUGAAACUGGUUGUCUUGGAACUCAUGUUUUCCAAUAACCAAAAUGCUUUGAUGAAUUUGAAGGUUCAAUAGAAAUGACAGAAAAUGGGUGUUCUAUCAAACAAGAUUACGAAAUGCCUCUCUUUAUUUUCCCCUGAGUCUGCC